AACCCCCUCAUAGGGGGCGUCAACCUCAAGCUGUCACCACGCAGAGACAGCGACUUGCGAGAGCUGGUGACGCACUGCGUGAAGUAUGUGGACGCGCUCGCUAAAGGUCUCAGAUUCGCAGCCGGAAUGGUAGCGGAGCAGAUGUUCGCUAAGCAUUUACAGCAAAGAUACGCGUCGUACUACAGCGGGUUCGGUUCCCGGCUGGUCAGCAGCGAUGUAUCUAUGGAAGAGUGCGAGGAAUACUACAAAAAGAACCACAGUUCCCACAGUGAAGUGCCGUCAGCAAAAUACGAGCAUUUCGACUUGACGCUGCAACGCUACCUGGAUUCCAGUGAACACGUCUGACCAAGCAACAUUGGGUUUUAGUUGUAAGUACUUAAAGUUGUUUUUACCUUAUAAUAAA